GAGUGGGAGUGACCACUCCCGAGCGGUAGGGGGCGCCGUCGUGCGGCCGGGUCGGGCCGGGUGGCUACCACAGCCCUGCACAGAACAGCACAGUCGCCUACGCCAUGCGCGCGUUGCUGCAGCUGCUGCGCACCGGUCGCGGGUGGCGCGUGGGGGGCCCUGCCGCCGCCCGCCUGCCUCAAGCAGCGAGCGCGGGGAGCGGGCCGCGCCGCGCCAUGGCCCUGUACCGCACGGAGGAACGCGGCCAGCUCCACUCGCAGGAUUACCGCAUCUUCUUCAAGAAUGUAGCUGGUCACUACAUUUCCCCCUUUCAUGAUAUUCCUCUGAAGGUGGACUCUAAGAAAGAGGAAAAUGGCAUUCCUACAAAGAAAGCACGAAAUGAUGAAUCUGAGAAUUUGUUUAAUAUGGUUGUAGAAAUACCUCGGUGGACAAACGCUAAAAUGGAGAUAGCCACCCAGGAGCCAUUGAAUCCCAUUAAGCAAGAUGUAAAGGAUGGCAAGCCACGCUUCACGGCAAAUAUCUUCCCUUACAAAGGUUAUAUAUGGAAUUAUGGAGCCCUCCCUCAGACUUGGGAAGAUCCCCAUCAAAAAGAUAAGAGCACAAACUGCUGUGGAGAUAAUGAUCCUAUUGAUGUUUGUGAAAUAGGCUCAAAGGUUCUAUCUCCUGGAGAGGUUAUUCAUGUGAAGAUCCUUGGAAUUUUGGCUCUUAUUGAUGAAGGUGAAACAGAUUGGAAAUUAAUUGCUAUCAAUGCGAAUGAUCCUGAAGCUUCAAAGUUUCAUGAGAUGGACCUCAACUGGGAUUCUUCUGCCUCAGCCCCGCUGGUUGCUGGAUUAACAGAUAUUGAUGAUGUUAGGAAGUUCAAACCAGGUUAUCUGGAAGCUACUAUUAAUUGGUUGACAUAUUAUAAGGUGCCAGAGGGAAAACCAGAAAAUAAGUUUGCUUUUAAUGGAGAAUUCAAAAACAAGGCUUUUGCCCUUGAAAUUAUUAAAUCUACUCAUGAAUGUUGGAAAGCAAUGCUUAUGAAGAAAUGUGAUAGAGGGGCUAUAAAUUGCACAAACGUGCAGGUAUGUGGUAGCCCUUUCCAUUGCACUCCAGAGAAAGCAAGAUCAUUAGUUGAAUCGUUCCUAAUUGUAUAAAGUCUAUGAGAAUUGCCAGUACGGGACCACAUCAAGUGAUUGACCUGAAAAUGAAAUUAAAAGUGAUUAAGGAUUACUAAGGUGGAAAAUCAGUAGUUACCAUUUGCCAGCCAGGCAUGUCCCAUUCCACCAUAGCUACAAUCCUGAAGGACAAGAACAAAAUGACGAAAGCUGUUAAAGGAUCUGCUUCAUUGAAGAUACCAACACUAAUGAAAAUUUGAGAAGGGCCUGCAUCAGACAUGGAGAAAGUUGAUGGAUUAAAGAUCAGACAGGCAUAUCCCUCUCAGCUCCAUGAUGAUCACAGGCAAAGCAAAAGUUUGUUUGCAAUUGUGAGAGAAAGGACUGGACCUGACUACAAUGUUGAAUUUACUGCCAGCUCGGGAGAGCUAAAUGAUUUAAGAAUUUUUAUUCAUUACAUAAUGUGGAAGUGAGUAAUGAAUCUGUGGGAGCAGAUGUUCAACAGCUGAACUUUUGGAAACUCUAGAGAAGCUGACUGUGGAGGAAAAUUCUAUGCCAGAGCAGACAUUCAGGAUGGAUGUAACCCUCAGGAAUAGUAUAUCUGAAGACUUCAUCCAUGAAGAGGCCAAGUCAGUGCCAGUUUUCAAGGAUUUGAAGAACAGGAUAACAGUCUUGCUUGGGGCAGUUUUGCCAGCUACAAAUUGAGACCCUUUGUGAUAUGGCAGAGUAAGAACCUCAAGGCCUUCAAGCAUACCACAAGCACACAGGCAGUGAGAAGUCAUAGAUGGCCCUCUUCCAAGAUGCCCCCUGAAUUGCUGAGUCAAUAAAAUGGAGAAGCACUGUUGUUUUAAAGAAAAUAAAAAGCUUUUUAAGAUAUUGCUUAUGGUACAUAAUCUUCUCUUGCACAUCAUCCAAUGUCACAGCAGUGUUUCUGUCUUAAAACUCCACCUCCUGGAUCCAACCAAAGGAUCAAGAAGUAAUAGAUCAGCUUUUAACCUCUUCUGCCUGUGAAAAACCUUAGCUCAGGCUGCUGCCGUAGUUGAAGAAGACCUGAUGCAAUUCUGGAAGAUUAUAAGAUAACUGCACCAAAAUGUUGCUUAGUAUUGGUGAUGUCACCUAGGAGAUGUCAAACAGCUUUAACCUGUGUGGGGGUGAAGAUGACAGGACCUCUUAGAGGUGGUUCCUGAGUGUGGUGAUUUGCGUGUGGUUUGUCUUUGCCAAACUCAUGUUAAGGCAUAAUUCCUCAGUAUAAUAGUAUCGAAAGAGAUAGGUCUAGUGGGAGAUGGUUGGGUCAUGACUACCCUCACGAAAGGAAUAAUGCUAGUCUCACAAGGUGGAUUUAGUCUCAUAGGAGUAAAUUAGUUCUCACAAUGUUUGAAAAGUCCAAACCUGGUCCCUUCUCAGUCACUUGCUUCCUCUCUUGCCAUGUAACCUUUCUCCACAUGUACCUGCUUUUCUGCCAUGUUGUGACAGAGCCAAGUGCCCUUACCAGAUACCAGAACUAUACUGAUUGGAUUUUCCAGUCACCAGAAUUAGAAGCCAAAUAAACCUCUUUUCUUUAUACAUUACCCAGUAUCAGCAUCACAAAGGAGACAAUGACACUAAAUAAAUAAUGAUGAAUUGUUGGAAGUGGAACAGGCAAGAGAAAAGGAAACUACAGAAGAAGUAAAAGAAGACCACCAAGUAAAUUCACAGUGAAGGGUUUAGCAGAAAAUUUUACUGAACUCAACAAGCUCUCCUUACAAAGUUUGAAAACAUGGCCCCAACACUGAAAAGUUUUAAUUAAUAGAAUUGUUCAUGGAGCAUUACUGUUCACAGGUGAAUCUAUGGUGUAAAAAGAUAAGCAAACCAUAAUGGACAUAUAUCUGAAGAGUGGCACUGCCCCAAGAGGAACCUCAGGCUGGUCCUUCUGGAGGGAUUCCAGAAGAAGGUGUAGUUCUCAUAGGAAGUGACAGUAUUAUAGGAGAUAUUGCUCUGAAGACCUUGCAGUGGGUCAAGGUGUGGAGAUGAACACAGUGGUAUUGAUCCUGACCCUGGGGCCUAGGCUAAUGUGCACGCUUGUAUUCUUAGUGUUUAAUGAAGAAGUUUUAAAAGGAAAAGUUAAAAAUAUAAGAAAGUUUAUAGAACAAAGAUAUAAAGAAAAAAAAAUUUGUACAGAAGAGUCAAUAUUUUAAAUAGGGUUGGGGAUGUAGCUAAGUGGCAGAAUAUGUGCAUAGCAUGCACAAGACCCUUGGUUCAAUCCCUAGUUCAUGCACACAUCAAUUUUUUUUUUAAGUCAAAAAAUCAAGUUUAUAAAGUGAAAAUGUUACAGCAAGCUAAGGUUAAUACAGAAACUAUUUUUGGUACGUUCACACAAUUGAAAUCACCUACUAAAGUGUUUUUCAGCAUGUAUGCCCAUUGUUAAACAAUGCAUGACUGUAUUUAUAACAAGAUUUAUUGCAAGGAAUUAGUUUGUAUGUUUAUGGAAGCUUGGCAAGUUCAAAUUCUGUAGGUGGGCUGGUAGGCUGGACUCAGGAGAGUAAAUGGUACAGUUCUAGCGUGAAUGCCAGCAGCCUGGGAACCCAGAGGAACCAUUUGUGCAGAUUAAGUUCUAAAACAGCCUUCUAGAGAAUUCCCUCUUGAUGGGGAGGUUAGUGUUUUUGUUCUACUCAGGCUUCAGGUGAUUGGAUGAGGCCCACCAACUUUAUGGAAGGUAAUCUACUUUACCCAAAGUUCACUGAUUUAAAUGUUGCUAUUAUCCAAUAACUCAGUCUAAGUUGACCCAUAAAAUUAACUAUUCCAGAGAAUAUUUUUAAUAUUGCUGAAAUUCAUAUUUUUCUUUUUGCUGAAUUGUUUCUAUUCAGUACUGCCCAUCAAACUAAGCAACAAGAGCCCUGCCUUGGUUCCUUCUUUUUUAGAGAGUCCUGCUUUGGCACUAAUUCAGUCACAUCCCUUUCCAUGGAGCAAAAAGACCAAAGGUUCAAAGUUAGAGAUUCACCAGGAGCCUUUUUCCAGGGCCUCAUGGAAAUCAGGUUGCACAACUCCCUAGAUCCAUACUCCUGACUGUGCCCACUCUUGCCUCUACUGGGACCAGAAUUGGGUGGUCAUUGGAGGCAGGGAGUGCAUAUGGAGGUGUGGCUGUUGUUUUUGCUCAUGUUUAGGUGAGGACUUCACAAUGCAGAAAAGAGUGUGGUAUAAGAAGAGAAGUAGGGCAGGACCAGGGCCAUGUGCCUCUUUCUUUAUCCACCACAUUCCAGCACACGUCUCUGAGGUCCCCAGAAUGCUAAAAGAGAAGUUAGAACAAAGAUAUUUAUCAGAAUAGUUGUAUAGGACAUAUUUUAUAUUUUAUUCAUCAUUUCAUUUCAUUAUUGUAACUUUUAAAUAUUUAUAUGUAUGGUAUGUAGUCUUCCAUUUUUACCUCUGCCAAGAUCCUUCAUGUUGAGGGUAGACAAAUUUGGAGGACUAGAAGUAGAUUAUUAAAUUUGCAAUUAUUAAAUUUCUUGACUUGGGCAGAGAUUACAUAGAUGUUCACUCUAUUGAUUCAUUAAACUAAAUACAGAAGCUUUGUGCUGCCUUCCCAAUAGAAUGUUAAAAUGAAAACAAAACAAUGUUGUUCAUAAUUAGGGGGUGAAAAUCUUGUUCUUAGAAAAACCUUUUUUCAAACUUGUCUACCACAGAUACAUAAUCUCUGUUAUAAGACUCUUGGCUCAGCCAUCAAAAUAAACAGAAAAGGUGAUUUAAAAACUCUAGAAGAUAGCAAAAUUGUAUAUUUACACACAUUAUAUUAUAGCUGUAUUAUGUACAUGCACAUAUAUUUGAAUGUGUGUUUGAUAUUUUGAAAGAAAAUCUCUUCACAUUUUCAGCUACAAGACCCUUAGUAGUUCUCAUAGGUUAUUGAUAGAAAAUAUCUUCCAGCAUGCUUUUUAAAUUUGACUCUACAUCUGUGGUUUGAUAAUGAGCAAUGAUAAUAAAAUGCAAAAAAAAAAAAAAGAGGGGAAUUUUUUUAGGUUAGGAAACAGAUGUAUGUCAAUUUUGUUCUACAAUUUCAUGAAAAGAUUUUAGUUCUGGACUCAUCUUCCACAUAUAAAUAUUCAUUAUAACAGACUGUUCUUAUCUUUCAGGUCUUAACAUCUUCGUCAAAUAAAGAAAGUAAUAUAGACGACCAAGUAUGGCACUUCCUUGGCAAGUGAUUACAACGUUUGAAGUUCUGCCAUCAAGAUUUCAACUUCUAUGGGACUCUAAGACUCAUUUUCCCUUAGUGCUGGAGACAGGCAGGCCUAUGAACAUUUGCUGACUUUCUGUUGAAUUUUCAAUUGUUUUCAAUAAUGUAAUAUGUAAAUAAACACUGAAAUUUUUGAA